rnacentral:rRNA from 1 species
UGCGAUAUACAGUAAGCGGCUAAGCGAAAGCAUUAAGUGAACCACCUGGGGAGUACGAUCGCAAGUUUGAAACUCAAAGGAAUUGACGGGGGCCCGCACAAGCGGAGGAACAUGUGGUUUAAUUCGAUGAUACGCGAGGAACCUUACCUGGGCUUAAAUGCAGGUUGCAUUACCGGGAGACCGGUAUUCCCUUCGGGGCUACUUGCAAGGUGCUGCAUGGUUGCCGUCAGCUCGUGCCGUGAGGUGUCGGGUUAAGUCCCAUAACGAGCGCAACCCUUACCGUUAGUUGCCAACAGGUAAAGCUGGGGACUCUGGCGGGACUGCCACCGUAAGGUGAGAGGAAGGUGGGGAUGACGUCAAAUCAGCACGGCCCUUAUGUCCAGGGCUACACACGUGUUACAAUGGCCGGUACAAAGGGCAGCUACUCUGUAAAGGGAUGCGAAUCUCUAAAGCCGGUCUCAGUUCGGAUUGGAGUCUGCAACCCGACUUCAUGAAGUUGGAUUCGCUAGUAAUCGCGCAUCAGCCAUGGCGCGGUGAAUACGUUCCCGGGCCUUGUACACACCGCCCGUCAAACCAUGGGAGCUGGGGGUGCCUGAAGUCUGUGAUCCUGAGCAAUUGGGAAGCGGCCUAGGGUAAAACCAGUGACUGGGGUUAAGUCGUAACAAGGUAACCAAGGGCGAA